AAACUCUUAAUUCUAUUAUUUUACUGUUAAAUUACGGUUUAAAAAGUUAUUGAUUUAACGGUCAAACUUAUUAAACUCUAAACCUAUUUUACUAAAAAUAAGAAAUAUAAUUAUAAUGACUGAUUGGAGUAAAGACGACUAUAUUUUUGUAAAUGAUAUUUUUUAACUGUAAAAUAUUUCUUUCAUUAUGGUUAAUUACAUACUUUUUAUUAAAAAAAUAUGUAAAAAUAUAUCAAAAAUUAUCAAAUGGUGAAAUAAUAGCAUAUGGAAUCAGACUCACUGAUAAACUAUAUAUGGCUCUAUGCCAAUCUUAUAGUAAUACUAAUAGUCCUGUAAUAAUAUGAUUAAUAUUUGAAAAAAGUUAUUUAACAAUUAUUUAUUUUUACCUUUUUUGAAAUAUAAAAUCAGUAAAUAAAAUUUUAUUUUUAGCUUCUGAUGAUUUAGGAUUUUUAAUAUUAUUUUACUAAAAUAAAUAUAAUUAAAUACUAUAGCAUUUUAUUUAUACUUUUCUGGUUGCGCCUUUUAUGUAUAAAAUAGUAGACAAUAUAUAUUACUAAAACUUCAAAUGAAUGAUGGAAUUUAUGAAAAUAAAUUGGAGAUGCAUAUCAAGUCCAAACCAAAAAAUAAAGAUACUAUUGAGUAACUAAAUAUUAAAAUUAAAUUUUAAAAUCCAAAAUUAAACACAAAAGAGUUUUGCAUUAUAUUUUCACAUGACAGGAAAAUUUGGGGUCCUAAACAUUAAAAUUAAGCUUAAAGUGUAAAAAAAUCCAGAAAAGGAAAACUCAAUCUUUUUGCCCCAUAUGUACAUAAAAACUUAGGGGCCUCUUUGUCUUUGGAAACCCUGGGUGAACCCGUACCAGAUAAUCAUAAAAGGUUACCAUCUAAUUAAUUUUAUGACAAUUUUUUGUAAUUUUCUCAAAUAAAUACAUGUUAAUAUUAUACUAUAAAAUAGGUAUUUCAUUUUUAAAAAUUCUUGUAAAAAUCUAGUCAUUUUUAUUUCUAUUAGUUAUUAUUAUUAUGUUACUUUAUCUAUAUAUAUAUAUAUAUAUAUAUAUAUAUAUAUAUUGUGUUUUACCUUCCAACCAUGUUUCUGGCAUAGUUGCUCCAAAGCUUGGGAACAACAAAUUCUAAUUUCUUCCCUGCAAUCAUUAAACCACUAAUUGACCCAAAUAAUGGUUUAACAUUCAGGA
rnacentral:lncRNA from 1 species